rnacentral:rRNA from 1 species
UACGUAGGGUGCAAGCGUUGUUCGGAAUUAUUGGGCGUAAAGAGCUCGUAGGCGGUUCGUCGCGUCGGCUGUGAAAUCCCGAGGCUCAACCUCGGGUCUGCAGUCGAUACGGGCGGACUGGAGUUCGGCAGGGGAGACUGGAAUUCCUGGUGUAGCGGUGAAAUGCGCAGAUAUCAGGAGGAACACCGGUGGCGAAGGCGGGUCUCUGGGCCGAUACUGACGCUGAGGAGCGAAAGCGUGGGGAGCGAACAGG